UUAAGCGACUAAGCGUACACGGUGGAUGCCCUGGCAGUCAGAGGCGAUGAAGGACGUGCUAAUCUGCGAUAAGCGUCGGUAAGGUGAUAUGAACCGUUAUAACCGGCGAUUUCCGAAUGGGGAAACCCAGUGUGUUUCGACACACUAUCAUUAACUGAAUCCAUAGGUUAAUGAGGCGAACCGGGGGAACUGAAACAUCUAAGUACCCCGAGGAAAAGAAAUCAACCGAGAUUCCCCCAGUAGCGGCGAGCGAACGGGGAGCAGCCCAGAGCCUGAAUCAGUGUGUGUGUUAGUGGAAGCGUCUGGAAAGGCGCGCGAUACAGGGUGACAGCCCCGUACACAAAAAUGCACAUGCUGUGAGCUCGAUGAGUAGGGCGGGACACGUGGUAUCCUGUCUGAAUAUGGGGGGACCAUCCUCCAAGGCUAAAUACUCCUGACUGACCGAUAGUGAACCAGUACCGUGAGGGAAAGGCGAAAAGAACCCCGGCGAGGGGAGUGAAAAAGAACCUGAAACCGUGUACGUACAAGCAGUGGGAGCACGCUUAGGCGUGUGACUGCGUACCUUUUGUAUAAUGGGUCAGCGACUUAUAUUCUGUAGCAAGGUUAACCGAAUAGGGGAGCCGAAGGGAAACCGAGUCUUAACUGGGCGUUAAGUUGCAGGGUAUAGACCCGAAACCCGGUGAUCUAGCCAUGGGCAGGUUGAAGGUUGGGUAACACUAACUGGAGGACCGAACCGACUAAUGUUGAAAAAUUAGCGGAUGACUUGUGGCUGGGGGUGAAAGGCCAAUCAAACCGGGAGAUAGCUGGUUCUCCCCGAAAGCUAUUUAGGUAGCGCCUCGUGAAUUCAUCUCCGGGGGUAGAGCACUGUUUCGGCAAGGGGGUCAUCCCGACUUACCAACCCGAUGCAAACUGCGAAUACCGGAGAAUGUUAUCACGGGAGACACACGGCGGGUGCUAACGUCCGUCGUGAAGAGGGAAACAACCCAGACCGCCAGCUAAGGUCCCAAAGUCAUGGUUAAGUGGGAAACGAUGUGGGAAGGCCCAGACAGCCAGGAUGUUGGCUUAGAAGCAGCCAUCAUUUAAAGAAAGCGUAAUAGCUCACUGGUCGAGUCGGCCUGCGCGGAAGAUGUAACGGGGCUAAACCAUGCACCGAAGCUGCGGCAGCGACGCUUAUGCGUUGUUGGGUAGGGGAGCGUUCUGUAAGCCUGCGAAGGUGUGCUGUGAGGCAUGCUGGAGGUAUCAGAAGUGCGAAUGCUGACAUAAGUAACGAUAAAGCGGGUGAAAAGCCCGCUCGCCGGAAGACCAAGGGUUCCUGUCCAACGUUAAUCGGGGCAGGGUGAGUCGACCCCUAAGGCGAGGCCGAAAGGCGUAGUCGAUGGGAAACAGGUUAAUAUUCCUGUACUUGGUGUUACUGCGAAGGGGGGACGGAGAAGGCUAUGUUGGCCGGGCGACGGUUGUCCCGGUUUAAGCGUGUAGGCUGGUUUUCCAGGCAAAUCCGGAAAAUCAAGGCUGAGGCGUGAUGACGAGGCACUACGGUGCUGAAGCAACAAAUGCCCUGCUUCCAGGAAAAGCCUCUAAGCAUCAGGUAACAUCAAAUCGUACCCCAAACCGACACAGGUGGUCAGGUAGAGAAUACCAAGGCGCUUGAGAGAACUCGGGUGAAGGAACUAGGCAAAAUGGUGCCGUAACUUCGGGAGAAGGCACGCUGAUAUGUAGGUGAAGUCCCUCGCGGAUGGAGCUGAAAUCAGUCGAAGAUACCAGCUGGCUGCAACUGUUUAUUAAAAACACAGCACUGUGCAAACACGAAAGUGGACGUAUACGGUGUGACGCCUGCCCGGUGCCGGAAGGUUAAUUGAUGGGGUCAGCGCAAGCGAAGCUCUUGAUCGAAGCCCCGGUAAACGGCGGCCGUAACUAUAACGGUCCUAAGGUAGCGAAAUUCCUUGUCGGGUAAGUUCCGACCUGCACGAAUGGCGUAAUGAUGGCCAGGCUGUCUCCACCCGAGACUCAGUGAAAUUGAACUCGCUGUGAAGAUGCAGUGUACCCGCGGCAAGACGGAAAGACCCCGUGAACCUUUACUAUAGCUUGACACUGAACAUUGAGCCUUGAUGUGUAGGAUAGGUGGGAGGCUUUGAAGUGUGGACGCCAGUCUGCAUGGAGCCGACCUUGAAAUACCACCCUUUAAUGUUUGAUGUUCUAACGUUGACCCGUAAUCCGGGUUGCGGACAGUGUCUGGUGGGUAGUUUGACUGGGGCGGUCUCCUCCUAAAGAGUAACGGAGGAGCACGAAGGUUGGCUAAUCCUGGUCGGACAUCAGGAGGUUAGUGCAAUGGCAUAAGCCAGCUUGACUGCGAGCGUGACGGCGCGAGCAGGUGCGAAAGCAGGUCAUAGUGAUCCGGUGGUUCUGAAUGGAAGGGCCAUCGCUCAACGGAUAAAAGGUACUCCGGGGAUAACAGGCUGAUACCGCCCAAGAGUUCAUAUCGACGGCGGUGUUUGGCACCUCGAUGUCGGCUCAUCACAUCCUGGGGCUGAAGUAGGUCCCAAGGGUAUGGCUGUUCGCCAUUUAAAGUGGUACGCGAGCUGGGUUUAGAACGUCGUGAGACAGUUCGGUCCCUAUCUGCCGUGGGCGCUGGAGAACUGAGGGGGGCUGCUCCUAGUACGAGAGGACCGGAGUGGACGCAUCACUGGUGUUCGGGUUGUCAUGCCAAUGGCACUGCCCGGUAGCUAAAUGCGGAAGAGAUAAGUGCUGAAAGCAUCUAAGCACGAAACUUGCCCCGAGAUGAGUUCUCCCUGACCCUUUAAGGGUCCUGAAGGAACGUUGAAGACGACGACGUUGAUAGGCCGGGUGUGUAAGCGCAGCGAUGCGUUGAGCUAACCGGUACUAAUGAACCGUGAGGCUUAACCUU
rnacentral:rRNA from 2 species